rnacentral:rRNA from 1 species
CCGUCGCUACUACCGAUUGAAUGGCUCAGUGAGGCCUUCGGACUGGCUCAGGGAGGUCGGCAACGACCACCCAGAGCCGGAAAGUUGGUCAAACUCGGUCAUUUAGAGGAAGUAAAAGUCGUAACAAGGUCUCCGUAGGUGAACCUGCGGAGGGAUCAUUA